rnacentral:lncRNA from 1 species
GCAUUAGAUGAGCAAUUUGUCUCUCAAGGCAUGUACAUGAAAUCAUGUGACUAAAGCAAUGGCUUCCUUUUCAAUAGGAUUCAAAGAGUUUGUUUGUGGCUCUAGGACACUGUGAUCACCUUCCAUCUGUAGUACUUGUCGCUAUUAAAUCUGACCCAAACUGAAUCUAUACAGCUCAAACGAAGCAGUUCAAAUAUGCAAUACUCCAUCAAUCGACUCUUCUGUCUACGUGACACCGAUGUGACUGACUAGGAUGAAAAUUAUCUGUUACUUGUUUGUGUGUCAUAUAGACACCAUUAACAAGAUACAACUAUGACAUUCCUUUAAGCAUUUUUAUGUUUUAAACUCCUGAGAACCAUAUUUUAGAGCAUUUCUGAACUGUUUCCAUUGUCAUUUCUCAUUUGACUCGUAUGUUGUGUUUUCCUUCAUGUACAAACAUUUGAGAAAGUCCUCAUUAUCUUGUUUUGUUAUGUAACUGCAUUCUGCUAUGUUCACAUACUGUACCAAAUACGACUUCUGUCCUGUGAAAUUUGUUCAGACUUUGUGACACAAUAUUUGGUCACUUUUGUAAAUGUUCUGUCUGAUCUUGAAAAAAAGGUACACCGUGCAGUUGUUGAUUGCAGUGUUCUAUAUUUGGCAACUAGGUCCAAUUUGUAAAUUGUCUUGUUCAAAUUUUCUUUUAAAAGAAAUUUUCUUUUAAAAGAAUAUUAAAUAUUCUUUUAAAGAAUAGCACUGUUUUGGUCCCCCUAGUACUAUGAAUGACCAAAGACUCUAAGCCACCAUUUUCUGCUUGGUUUCUAGGCCUCUCAGCACCACCACUCCCCACCUCCACUGGCACAGAUGAACGCAGAGGAGAAAGCCAAGCUUACUGCAACACAAUCUCUUUCUUUCUAAGAUCUUGACCCUUCAAGGUUGGCUGCUUUGGCUACACUCGGAUGCUCUCAAACAAAGAUUUAAAGAAAAAAGUCUAGGGGCUGGCCUGUGGCCGAGUGGUUAAAGUUCUGCACACUCCACUCCAGUGGCCUGGGUUUGUGGGUUUUGAUCUCAGCAUGGACCUGCUUCACUCUUAAGCCAUGAUGUGCAAGCGUCCCACAUAAGAAAAAUGGAGGAAUAUUGGUGCAAAUGUUAGCUCAGGGGUAAUCUUCCUCAAGUGAAAAAAGAAGAAGAUUGACAGUGGAUGUUAGCUCAGGGUGGAUCUUCCUUACCAAAAAAAGAAAAAAAAAUUUUUUUUUAAUCUGGAUUUCAUAUUUAUUCUUAGUAGAUGGAUACUGACCUGUAUCAAACUACUUCAUAGUAAUGAGAAAUGGAAAUCUGCCAAAUUCCUAGACAGAAUACAGGCUCAUAAGAAUUAUUUUUAGCCAUAGCAUAGAGGAGAGGCUAAAGAAGCAACAACGAAAAAGUAGAAAAGGGGGAAUAAAAUAGAAAAAUAGAAAAAAUAUUUCUUCAAAAUAUAUUUGUGGUAGAAAAACUUAAUCCAUGUUAACUUUUGUCAGUCCUUGGAUGAUGAUUAUGCAUCAAUUUUAAAAAAAAUUUAUGUCCAAGGCACCAUAUGAAAAAGAUAGAUAGGGAGAAUUGUGCAAAGCAGGAAGGAAUUUCCAGUCUCUAAUUCCCAAAGUUCAAGAAAAUAAUUCCCCACGUAUAUAUGAAAUGUUUGUGUCAGUUCCUAGACCUGCUAAGCCAUUUUGAAUGAAGUGAAAUAAGAUUUAUUGCUACUACAUCUCUGAAGCUAUAAAAAAAAGAAAAGACAAUUGUUAAUUUUAGUUCGAUGUAAUUCUGAGUCAGAAAAAGUUACCACUUUUGUUUUAUACAAAUAAAUUUAACAAAUCACUUAUUUAUAUUGCCUAAGAAAUACAGUAAACAUUAACUCAUUUAACAAAAGAAGAAACAGUUACACUUGAAACUAAUAUAAUGUUAUAUGUCAAUUAUACUUCAAUAAAAAAAGAAGAUAGUUAAAUGCUAUCACAAAUUCAAAUAGAGGUGACAAAAAUUUGAAUCACCUGAAACUAUAUUUAUUUGGGUAAUGCUAGAGAAAACAUUUAUUCUUUCUCCUCUAACACAC